rnacentral:lncRNA from 1 species
CGAUUUUUAUGCCCGUUUUCACCAACAACCUCUUACCGUUUCCCUAUCUAAAAGCUACUUUUAAUAAGGACCCCUCCCAAUUUGACACCUACCUAAAUUCAUUUUCACCACACUUGUACAUGGAUCCCUUAAAGAAGAGAAAACGAGGAUAAACCUUUCUUGCAGAAGAAAAAGACAAGCUAGUGAAAUUGCUGACGUCUCAUAGAGACACAAUAUUAAACAAAAAACGGAUGGGACCACGAACGAAGCCAAAAACAAAGCUUGGAUCCAGUCACAAAUAGUUUUAAUGCGAUAGGAACCGUUUACAGUUUCAGGUGGUGCGAGAAAUUGGAAAGACGUGUAAGAACAUGCUGCGCCCAGCCCACCUCAAAUUGAAUUGGUGCAGGAGGAUGAUGAUAAUGUUUGGUACAUCAUAUGAGGACUAAUAUUAAAAUAUUUAUUUACUAUCUUUGUUUUAAUUUAUAUAUUUUAUUAUGUUCAAUAUUAGCCUACUUCUUACCUCCAGAGGGUAGCCCCUAUCACCUAGGAGAUAGGCUCCUCCAUAUUCACCAUUUUCGAAUCAUUGGUAUCUACUGCAGUUUUGGUAUUUAAGGCCAAUUCAAACCUGAGCGAUAUUCGCUGCCGCUGUGGGUAGAGGUAGAUACCGCACGGGUUUCGCUCAGGUAUUUAGUAUCAAGUAUAGUUACCGGCACGGAUAUUGAGCUCUCGGCGGAAGAGUGGGGAUCGCUUUGCGCACUGUACACAAGGCAAUAAACCAAUAAAUGGCUUCUGCGCAGGUUAAGGUCAGGGCUCAAUAUCCGUGCCAAUAACUAUACCUACCGCGACCUGAGCGAUAUUCACUGCCGCUGUGGGUAGAAGUACAUACCGCGCGGCAGCAGCGGCAUACAUCCCGAACAUCAACAGUAAUAUUAUCGCAUACCCACUGGGUUUUCUCUGUCGCAGGUGGUAGCGAAAACCGCUUAGGUCUGAACAGUCAUAUUACCGCAUACCCACAGGGUUUUCUCUGCCGUAGACGGUACCGAAUACCGCUUAGGUCUGAAUAGGCCUAUAGAUGUCCCGGCCACCGCGAAACUACAUCAGUGAUUACCAGAUUUGCAUCUGUUAUGGUCUGUAUAUUUAUGGACAUGCAGGACUACCUAUUUUUGAAUAAUUCAGCGACAUCACAAUUCAUUCAUAGCAAGUGAUAACCUAUAAUCUAUAUCUACAUAUACUAAUAUUAUAAAGAGGAAAAUGUUUGUUUGUUUGACUGAAACUGAACUGAACUGAAAACUCAAAAACUACUGGACCGAUUUUAAAAUUAUUCUUUCACCAUUAGAAAGCUAUAUUAUCUGCGAGUAACAUAGGCUAUAUUUUAUCCCGGUGCGGGCAGUAGCUCCCACGGGACGCGGGUGAAACCGCGGGAAAACGGCUAGUCUUAUAAAAAAGUCAUGUUCAUCGUACUUUUUUCUCAGACAUCUGCUCUUUCACGUAAGAUAGGUA